rnacentral:rRNA from 1 species
CGCCUGCCCUGUGACAAAAAGUUCAACGGCCGCGGUAUUUUGACCGUGCAAAGGUAGCGCAAUCACUUGUCUUUUAAAUGAAGACCUGUAUGAAUGGCAUAACGAGGGCUUAACUGUCUCCUUUUUCCAGUCAAUGAAAUUGAUCUUCCCGUGCAGAAGCGGGAAUAUAACCAUAAGACGAGAAGACCCUAUGGAGCUUUAGACACAAAACAGAUCUUGUUAAAUACUUCAAAAUAAAGAAACAAACUAAAAGAACCCUGCCCUACUGUCUUCGGUUGGGGCGACCACGGGGAGAUAAAUAACCCCCACGCGGACUGGGAAAACAGUUCUCACAACCAAGAGCUACAGCUCUAAUCAACAGAAAUUCUGACCUCAAGAUCCGGCAACGCCGAUCAACGGACCGAGUUACCCUAGGGAUAACAGCGCAAUCCCCUUUUAGAGUCCAUAUCGACAAGGGGGUUUACGACCUCGAUGUUGGAUCAGGACAUCCUAAUGGUGCAGCAGCUAUUAAGGGUUCGUUUGUUCAACGAUUAAAGUCCU